AAGCCGUGGUGUGGGCAUUGGUUAGUGUAGCUUCUAAACCGUUCCCAAGCUUCACUAAAGCUCUCGUUAUUGUGCUGCGUGAAACUUGAGUUCUGUUUCCUGAGCUU
rfam:Eutrema salsugineum unplaced genomic scaffold scaffold_2, whole genome shotgun sequence.